rnacentral:lncRNA from 1 species
GGGAGGAGCUGUGUAUCCCCCACUCUCAAAACUAGUAGGGAGGAGGCUUCCAGGGAACCACUCAGAGAGAACGCUGUCCUGUGUUUCCUGAAUCUGGGGGACUUGGGGACUGACAUAUGAGGCAUCUCAAGGCAGAGGCAGGGGCAGUGGAGAGAAGAGAUGCUGUAUUGAGAAUGGCCAGCCCUUCCAUAGUUGACUGGGUAAAAACUGACUCUGAGGAAGGAGCAGACUGGGUCAUCUUGGCAGCAACUUAAGAGGG